AGAGUUUGAUCCUGGCUCAGAACGAACGCUAGCGGCGUGCCUAACACAUGCAAGUCGAACGAGAAAUCCUGAGCAAUCGGGAGAGUAAAGUGGCGCACGGGUGAGUAACGCGUGGGUAAUCUACCCUGGAGUUAGGAAUAACACUUCGAAAGGGGUGCUAAUACCUAAUAAGAUCCUGAAAACCAUGGUUUUUGGGAUUAAAGAUGGCUGAGGCUUGCAAGCUAUUGCUCCAAGAUGAGCCCGCGUACCAUUAGCUAGUUGGUAGGGUAAUGGCCUACCAAGGCAACGAUGGUUAGCUGGUCUGAGAGGAUGGCCAGCCACACUGGAACUGAGAUACGGUCCAGACUCCUACGGGAGGCAGCAGUGAGGAAUCUUGCGCAAUGGGGGCAACCCUGACGCAGCAACGCCGCGUGAGUGAUGAAGGCCUUCGGGUCGUAAAGCUCUGUCAGAUGGGAAGAAAAUUUUUGCGGUAAAUAAUCGCAGGGAUUGACGGUACCGUUAAAGGAAGCACCGGCUAACUCCGUGCCAGCAGCCGCGGUAAUACGGAGGGUGCAAGCGUUGUUCGGAAUUAUUGGGCGUAAAGAGCGUGUAGGCGGCCUUGUAAGUCAGAUGUGAAAUCCCUUGGCUUAACCAAGGAAGGGCAUUUGAAACUGCUUGGCUUGAGUACGGGAGGGGGAAGUGGAAUUCCCGGUGUAGAGGUGAAAUUCGUAGAUAUCGGGAGGAACACCAGUGGCGAAGGCGGCUUCCUGGACCGAUACUGACGCUGAGACGCGAAAGCGUGGGGAGCAAACAGGAUUAGAUACCCUGGUAGUCC
rnacentral:rRNA from 1 species